rnacentral:lncRNA from 1 species
CCCCCCCCCCCCUUCUCGGUUUCCCUGCUCUGACUCUUGGAGUGACUUUUCUUAUUAACCCCUUACAGCCCACGAGCUCCCGCAGAACAAGCCCUCGGCAGCGGCGCAGAGCGGCAGCCACCUGCAGUGCCUCUCCGUCCACUGCACGGAUGACGUGGGCGAGGCGAAGGGCCGGACCUCGGUGCCCACGUGGAGAUCCCUGCACUCGGACAUCUCCAACAGAUUCGGGACUUUCGUGGCUGCCCUCACUUGAAACGCAGAAGAAAGAUGGCUCCCUUCUGGGCAUCUCCCAGCUCCCCCUUCCCCGCCCCGGCCCCCAGCCCUCCCCCCAGCCCCCCCCUCCAUUUUUUCAUUUGAAAGGGCCGCUACUGCUGGGUGAACUCUUUUUUUUUCUAGGUUGGUACCUGCUUAGUGGCACAUGGACUGGAAAGGGUUAAUUUAAAGUAAACCUCAGAUUUUUUUUUAAUUGUCUGCCACAGUAUGUUACCAGUGUUAACCCUUCUGCAGUUAGCACACUAUGGCUUAAUUUUUUUUUCCUGCUAGAGAUUUCUUUCCCAUUAUUCUGUAAUCUUGGCAUACACCUUUAGAUGAAGGCUCCCCCUUUUCAUCUUUCUAUGUGUCUGAGUGGUGUAUGUCAUAAUAAGAAAAAAAGACGUUGUUCUCUCUCUUCUCCUUCUCUCUUUUUCUCUCCUUCCCUUCCUUCUGUAUCUCUCCUUGUCUCUGCCUUCUCCCCCUCUCAAUUUCUCUCUCUCUCCUCUCCUCCUGUAUUCUUCCCCUCCUUCUUCUUGCCUCCCUCUCCUCUCCCUUUCUCUCUCUCACUCUCUCUCUCUCCUUCUCUCUCUCUCCCUCUCUUCUCUCUCUCUCUCUCUCUCUCUCUCUCUCUCUCUCUCUCUGUCUCUCUCUCUCUCUCUCUCUCUCUCUCUCAUUUCCUUUCGCUUUGUUCAGUGCUUAUGAAAAUGGCAAUCCUGGAGUACGGUGGUUCCAGAAUCAUGCCAGUGGAGACGGUUUUAUCAGCAUAUCAGCAUAUUCUUUGCCCACACUGGACUGUGGCCUGGUGCCCUCCAUCAGACAGAAACCAAACCGUGAAGGCUCUAGUCCCUGAGCCCAGCCUCUGA